GUGCUGACUUCAAUAGCACCUAUACUAAAAUUAGCAUACUAGAAAGAAGAUAAGCAUGGUCUCUGUACAAUGAUGGCAUACAGAUUUGUGCAGUGUCCCAUAUUUUU
rnacentral:snRNA from 1 species